GAUGUCAGCGGCUCUGUGCAUGCUCAGCCUUACCGUGGCUCUCCUCAAGAGCAGUAGGUAUCCUUGCGAGCAGCCCCCUGGACACAUGGGGCAGCCGGCUUCCAAAGCCUCCGCUGUUACUGCGCGCUUACCUCCCUGGUGCAGAAGGUCUGUGACCGACCCGUCCCCUCCUUCUGCUCAGGUUAUGGGAUUUUCUUGGAUUAUCUCCUGUAUGAACUGGAGCAUUUCUCUGAGAAAAUAAAUCAAUUUCAACUUCAGAAUGUCUAGCGAUGAGGAAUCCAUAACAAUCCUCAGUGUUCUCUUCCCUGAGUAACUGCAAGCAGAAGCACAGUUCGUUGGUGCAAUGGCUUCUAACAGCUGCUUUGUUCAGCAUGGAUAUGUCAGAACACACA